ensembl:lncRNA
GCAAGGAUUAAUUCUUUAUUAAAAAUGAAAACACACAAGAAUAGAAAAAUGCUGUUUAAAAGCAAGAAGUCUUUUGUAUAACAAAUUGAGAACAAAUCAUUCAAUGAAACAAGAAAAGUCCCCCAGUUUAAUAUUUAUUAGAGAAGCAUUUCUAGGGCAUGAGCUUACCACUCCAAAGGCAGACAUCUGAGACAGGUGAGCAAACUGCUGCCUAACAAUGCCCGUGUCUCUCCAGUGCCUCUCCAGUCUAGCCAUAAUUCAGAUGGAGGCACCUAUUUUGUGGAUAUAAAGAUGGGACAGAUGAAACUCAGCCCUAAUCUUCACCUGAACUGCCUCAAACACAGUCUAGUUUCUGCAGGAAUUGCUUCACAUUAGACCCAUGACAGAAGGGGAGCAAAAGCUCUCCCUUGUUCCUUUGGCUGCCUUCUUCUAGCUUUAAAAAAAACAUUCAGUGAGACCUGCCGCAGGAAGGGGCAGAGCUAUCCCAUCCUAGCCCUCCCCUCCGGUGUUAAAAGCAGUGGAAAAAGAGGUGUUUUUCUUCUCUAUAAAUACAGGCUCACUCUACUUUGCUUCUUCUCUGCUUUUGCCUUAACCAAAAUGGUAUUUCUCCUUGAUUUUCUUUCUACUUUGAUAUAACCAGAAUGAGCCAGAUGUUUCAAAAUCAGAAGAGAAUUUCAAAGCACUGUUUGAUCUUUACUAAAAUAUAUGUUCUGAAAUUCAAGGAUCAAUUUAAUUACGUCUUUUUGUCAGGCUUGUUGUUUCUUUUCUGUAGUUUCUUGAGAAAAUAGGGCUACUUCUUGCACUGCCAGUCCCCCAUUACUCACUCAGGAACGAACUAGCUCAUUAAAAAAUGUGACAUAGAGGAAUCAAAAUUGAGAAUGUUUCUAUAGCUGAGUACAGCAGGGAGCUCUUGCUGUCACUCUAGAGAAGGAUCAGCAGGCAGAGGCUGGUCCUCAUCCAUUGUUUGGCAGCUUUUGUAUUGUCUUGUCCAGGGAACAGGUCAAAAUAUUUGGUUAGGGACACCUAACCAAAUCUGAGUCUGCUGGGAAGGUGGGAGGGAUGUGAAGAUGGCUUAGGGGAAGAGGGAAUGCCAACAAGCCUCAUUUCUUUCAGCAGUAGCCUGAAACUAAUAACUGACAACAGAAGGUGCUACUUUUAUAAUAAAUAUUAAUGGCAAUAUUAGCAACAGUGAAUUAGCUGUGUUCUUUUGACAUCUUGGCUUAGGCUGUAAGGAAGCAGUUAUGUACACAGCUGAAGCAAGGACUGCCCAGAGCCAGCUGUGCAGCUGGGUAACUUGAACACAGACUGAAAGCUGCUGACUGAAAAUGAAAGGGAGAACAUUGGCAGUGACAAAGCAUGUGGGAAACAGGCCCAGGACAGAGUGGGGAGCAGGAUUUUUUUAGUCUGGAAGCAGAAUGGGAUGUGAUAACAUGGUUUCAGUGGAUGAGAAGCUGUUGUUAAGGAUGGCAGCAACUGCUCUGCUAGAAGAACAAAUACAGGAUCUAAUCAGUUUAUUUUUCAGAGCAGAAAAAAAAAGGGGGAACAAAAAGAAGCUUCUGUAUUUCAAAAAUUUUCUCUGAGUAAACAUGGCCCAGAAAUGGGCAGGUUGUGAAAGUUGCUUCACUGGAAGCUAGAAGCUACGUAAAGUCACACCAUAGACAGCAAACAAGAAAUUGUCUUGCAGUUCCUGAUCAUGUAAAACCUAGCAACGUCUUCCAGCUCUAUUGUGUUGUUACCCAUUACACCUCUGUCCUGCUAGUGGCCUUUCUCCUAUUACCUCCCACCCAGCAACCUUCAGUGUCCUGCAGAGAAGCACUGGUCCUGUCUGGGUUCUCUGGGGCACUCUUAUUCCCUCUGAAAUUUCAUAGCAAGAUUGCACAGGCAUCUCUCUGCUAUCUGAGAUUAUGGUGGCAUAGGAGACCUCAAAUACUGGAAAAAAACAAACAGACAGAUCACAUGGUUCUUUUGGGCCACACUGUAGAGCAGAAUAUUCUCAACAUAUAGGCUGUACUGAGGCAUGCAGACCUUCCCCAUACAUCCGAGUCCGUUAAGUCCGUUACUGUAUUUCAAUUCCAAUACCAAAAGAGACAGAAAGGUGUAAUGGAGGUGUUCUUGAGAUGCUACAUCAGUAUGUAAUAUUAAGCAUAUAACCAGGUGCUGAGUACAGUCUGGCUUCUCACCACCACAGUCAGUAACUCCAAUAAACUUGGCCAUCCUACCAGCUACUGCUAGUGGCACAUUUGAUUAGGGCAAUAUCCUCCCUGAGCAGCUUGCUGGCAGUCCCUUGCCAAUAAUAGAUGUUCCUCUGUCCAUACUAUACAGAGAAAUACAAACUACCAUAACAUUACCAAACCUCUGCUAGGUAAUGUAUGGGAACUGUUGAGUCACGGACUGAACCACCGAUUGAUCACCUGCAGAAGGGACCAGGUCAGCCCUGGGAGAACAGGUGAAGGCAAUUCACCUGUGUGACCGGAAGGGGUGAAGCCUGGCUAGAGAAAUCAAUUCUGGACCAUGUGUAUUUUGGGUUGUUGCACAAAUCUUUGGACUGUUCUCUACACAGUUGAUGCUUCUUCCCACUCUGUUUUUACAAGCAACUAGCAGCUGGUAGUGGGCUAGAGCUCCAACCUCGCUCCAGUAGCUACUAAGAAAUGUCACCUCUGUCAUCCAGAAAAGGAUGAUUAAUUGCCUAAGAAGGGCUUAACCUUUACCCUUCUCCAGUGGCUCUAGGCCCCGUGGUAGCUAAAGAGAUUUUCCCAGGAGCAGUCACAGCUGCAGCUUUUGCAGUGCAAUCCAGACAGGUGUCACUGUUCAUACCAGGGCUUCAGGAGGGUUUUUGCUUUACAUGUGUGAUUUCUGGCUUCCUUUUCCUAUUCUGAUUUUUCUUGCAUUGAAGCUAGGAAUGGCCAGCCACCAGUACCAAAAGCAGGCAAAAUGGAAUCAUCCGUUACUUUGCUGAGGAUGCAAAUAUUGCCAGCUGAGCAGAAAGCAUGGCAAGCCUGUGUGAACUGUUCAUAGCAGCAGCAGGUAGAAAAAAAUAGUGAAAGAAGAAAGUAGAAUCAGCAACACAUCUCCUACUUUGAUUUCAUACGGAAUUAUAGAAUUGUUA